rfam:Erinaceus europaeus unplaced genomic scaffold scaffold00028, whole genome shotgun sequence
AAGAAAGAAAGAAAGAGCAAACUUCUCAUUGAAGCUGUUGGUUUCAAGCAAGAGUCUAAAAAAAAAAAAUCUUUCUCUGGUCUGUUGGCCAUUUCAGAACUUUGGAGAAGUAAUGGUCAAUUCAUUAGCAAGAAAACAGC